rnacentral:lncRNA from 1 species
GCCAGAGUGGCUAGAUUACUCCCUUAGGGUAAUGGAGAAAGGAAAAAGAAAUUGAAAAAGGUCAGGUGAACAAAGCAGAAGGAAUGAAGAGGUUUGUGUGAUUCUUAGUGAAAUUGGACCAGUCUAAGCAACCAGACAGUGCAGUUCAGGAAACCAGGCUGAAGAAUGUGAAAUACAUCGCCCAAAGUCAGACACGGAGGAACAACUGCUUCGGAGCUAGCAAUUUCCUGAGCUGGAAUUGCACCACUGGCCUGUAGAAUCCAAACUGUUUUCUACCAGAACAACUCCUUCCCUGCAGGAAGCAGGGUGUGCACAGCUGAACCCUGGUCUGAGAAGGUUGAAGUCACUGACUCAGCCCCAGCAAGGAAGUUGCCCUUCGACUUCUGACCUCUGGCCCUGUUUGAAAACCAACUCAAAUCGUUUUUCUUUUUCAGAAGCUGCUUGCCUCCGCUUCACCUUCCACCAUGAUUGUAAGUUUCCUGAGGCCUCCCAGUCAUGCUUGCCGUUAAAACUGUGGAACUUGCUGCUGAUGGAGGAUGCUGUCAAUCCAGAGUCUGACAGCUUCUUGCUCCUAUAAAAGUGACAACUUAAAAACUUUCUUUAAACAUAUCACUCUGACACCAAUGUGUAAGAUGAAGUGGACAGGAAUGGAACUGUACUGGGAGGCUCUGACAGUUCGGGUGAGAAGAAAUGAAGGGGCCAGCAAGAAGAGGUCCCAAUCUGGGAUAUGCUUUCCUCAUGUUAAAGGGAGAAAAAGAUAUAUUGCUAAUGGUAUGGACAGGAGGCAAGGAAAUACUGGGUAGGAGAGGGUGGUUCCCCAGCAAAGGCCCCACCCUCAAGCCUGGAAACCCAUGGCCCUAAAUGGGAACAGGCAUUCCUGUUUUUGCAUCCAAAUAUUUGGCCCACCACGCCCCCCUAUCCUGUACCCAUUUAAACCCCAAACCUCAGGUCCUGUAAGCAGAUGAGCAGAUGAACAGAAGAGCAGAAGAGCAGCACAGCCGAGAAGGAAUGAAUGGCACAGCAGAGAAGGAGAGAAGAGAAGGAGCAUCUGAACGUUGAGAGUUCAACUAGAAAUGGUCAGAGAGGAGACUGAUCAUGGGAUAGCCAAACUCCAGGAGAAGAUUAUGUUCCCACUCCAUCCCCUUUCCAGAUCCCCAAUCCAUCCCUCUGAGAGCCACCUCUACCACUCGAUAAAACCCCUGCAUUUACCAUC